UGUGAAUGGGUUGUGCUGGGGAUUCGUAGCUCUGAUGCGGGGGAUUUGCUGAUUCCUUUGAGCCCCCUGAGGAGAGGUGAUAUGGAGAGCAAAUAAUCAGCAUGCAGCUCGGAGGCGAGGUAAUGAAUUGGCUCAGCUGGGCCUGGCUUCACUAUUUGUACACUUUUAGGCACCUCGGAAACUGGGUUUGCAGACAAAAACCUGUGCUGAGGGGCCCUCAACCCCCGACCUUUUGUGGGGCUGGAUCGCUGCCGCCUCUCCUACUAGCUUAAGAUUGGAGCCUUGUCUCAGAACGGAGGAGCCUGAGCUCCAGGUUCACCCCCGUGAAGUCUUCCCCACCGGCAAGAUUACGCUGUGGCUUCUCCGUGUUUUCGGAAUGUCGUGACAGGCCAACAAAGGACAAAGAGGCUUAGGGAUUCCGAACCAGCACGGGGUCCCAGCCUGGAAGUGGUAACUGGAGCAGCUUCCACAGAGCUUCCAGCUUCCAACCUCGGGGACCUUCAGCCCCCUCAACACUGCAGCCAGGAGGAUCUCUCUUGGAGACACCCCGAUGGGUCCCUCCGCUCUGAAACUCUUCAAAGUGUCCCCACAGCACCUAGAAGAAAGUUCAAAUGCCUCGGCUUAGCACACAAGCCCCUUUAUGCUCCAGCACCUGGAAAGAAUUAAAUGCAGAUUGAGGGACCUCAUCAGCAACUUCAUGAAAUCCUAGGGUUUGUCAAAGCAUUACUGAUAUGGAUUCAUUUCCUCUUUGAGGAGUCUUCAG